UACGAAGGGGGCUAGCGUUGCUCGGAAUCACUGGGCGUAAAGGGUGCGUAGGCGGGUCUUUAGGUCAGGGGUGAAAUCCUGGAGCUCAACUCCAGAACUGCCUUUGAUACUGAGGAUCUUGAGUUCGGGAGAGGUGAGUGGAACUGCGAGUGUAGAGGUGAAAUUCGUAGAUAUUCGCAAGAACACCAGUGGCGAAGGCGGCUCACUGGCCCGAUACUGACGCUGAGGCACGAAAGCGUGGGGAGCAAACAGG
rnacentral:rRNA from 1 species